rnacentral:tRNA from 1 species
GGAUCGUGUGUUCUAUGGUAGAACAGUUGACUGUAAAUCAACCAGCCCAACAGGCGAUAAUAGGUUCGAUUCCUAUACGAUCCA